GAUCAUGGCUCAGGAUGAACGCUAGCUACAGGCUUAACACAUGCAAGUCGAGGGGCAGCGAGAUUGAAGCUUGCUUCAAUUGCCGGCGACCGGCGCACGGGUGAGUAACACGUAUCCAACCUUCCGUACACUCAGGGAUAGCCUUUCGAAAGAAAGAUUAAUACCUGAUGGUAUGAUGAGAUUGCAUGAUAUCAUCAUUAAAGAUUUAUCGGUGUACGAUGGGG
rnacentral:rRNA from 1 species